CGAAGUGCAAAAUCAUAACUGUUAUAAUUACCACAAGAAUUUUCCAAAUUACUGAAACACUUAUCAUAUAGCCUUUGUGAUGCAUAUGGAAGGAUAAACUGCUAAAUUUUCCACACAAAGAAGAAAAGGAUAUAAAGAGUCUCCAUAGGUGUAUUGUUGCUGAUAAUCUUCUUUGUCUGCCAGUCGAGUCCUGUCCAUACGCAGAAGAAUGUAAGUUGCUUCUCAUUUAUUCAUACCGAUCAAAGAAGUCACAGUACGUUAGAGGAUACUUGUUUUGAAAUCAUCGACAACACAGCAAACACUAUGUAUACAG